rnacentral:tRNA from 1 species
GCCGAAGUGGUGGAAUUGGCAGACGCGCUGCGUUCAGGGCGCAGUGGGCACAAGCCCGUGUGGGUUCGAGUCCCACCUUCGGCACCA